UCUUCAUUCUCCACACUAUCUCAUCGGCCAGAGAGGCGAGAGAGUGUGCAAAAUGAAGAGA
rfam:Pristionchus pacificus strain PS312 contig5149, whole genome shotgun sequence.